CUUUUACAGAUAUUUGGAUUUUAUUUUGGCAGACAGUUUAGCUACUUUUAGACCAACUUGAUUCUUUUGAGGUUUGUUUUUAGCACAGGUCUGCAGUAGCCUCAGUCUAGCCCUAAUACUUCUGGGGUCUUUUCUGAAUGCCCUGCUUGUUCUGAGAUUUCUACACCACAAUUGAAAGUGAAUUCAAAAAAGCUGGAGAGGAGACGCAUCAGGUCAGAAGGGAUUUGCUGCUCUGAACUGCCAGUUACACUGCACAAAAGUGAUUGCAUCCUUUGAAAGCCUGUUUGCAUAGCAGACAAUGAAGCUGAGCAGAGAAAAACAAGAUGAGAGACAGAUGGAGUAGGAGACCUGAGAAGAUGGCUUGAGUCCAUGAAUUCUGGUGUUCCCUAGGCCACAUUUGCCCCCAUCCUUCCCAGGUGAGAGAACCUUUGUGGGAGCGCAGAAGUCCAGCAGAGAGACCCUAGCACUUUAUUUGGACCAAAAAAUAAAUAAUAAAUAAAUAAAUAAAUAAAUCCAAAACUAGAUGCAUUAAAGAAGGUUAGACUUCUCCUAUGGAGAAUGCAGCAAGAAAAUACCAUCUUGAAGCAGAGAGCAGCGCUCAUCAGGCAUCAGUCCUUCUGGAGCCUUGAUCUUGGACCUCCCAGCUCCAAAAUAAUAAGUAAUAAAUUGUUAUUGCUUAUAAAUU
rnacentral:lncRNA from 1 species